rnacentral:rRNA from 1 species
GACGAACGCUGGCGGCGUGCUUAACACAUGCAAGUCGAACGGAAAGGCCUCUUUCGGGGGGUACUCGAGUGGCGAACGGGUGAGUAACACGUGAGUAACCUGCCCUUGACUUUGGGAUAACUUCAGGAAACUGGGGCUAAUACCGGAUAGGAGCUCCUGCUGCAUGGUGGGGGUGGGAAAGUUUCGGCGGUUGGGGAUGGACUCGCGGCUUAUCAGCUUGUUGGUGGGGUAGUGGCUUACCAAGGCUUUGACGGGUAGCCGGCCUGAGAGGGUGACCGGCCACAUUGGGACUGAGAUACGGCCCAGACUCCUACGGGAGGCAGCAGUGGGGAAUAUUGCACAAUGGGUGGAAGCCUGAUGCAGCAACGCCGUGUGCGGGAUGACGGCCUUCGGGUUGUAAACCGCUUUCGCUCAUGACGAAGCUUUGCGUGACGGUAGUGGGUAAAGAAGCACCGGCUAACUACGUG